rnacentral:lncRNA from 1 species
AUACUUGAACCCAUAAGUGACACAUAUCUCAAAAUAGGACACAUUGCUUCCAGAAUACCUUUUCUCUUCUACAAAAUAAUGACAUUAACAUAAGAAUUAUCCAUUUCAGACAAAUUUCCGAUGUAUUUCACACUAAUAUCAAGACUUACACCAGAAAAAAUGUCUUCUCUCUUAGGUAUCACUCUUGAAUCUUGCAAAAAAUUCAUUUUCUUCCCAAUACAAAGCUUUUCAUCAUUACAAGUAGCAUUUUCUACCCAAAAAAGUGGUUUUCAUCCCCAAUAGAAAUCGUUUUCUCUACAAAUGGUCCCUUGUAGCAACAUAUGAAACACUGUUAUUGGAAUACCUCUUUCCCUCUUCAAAAUAAGGACAUUUCCAACAGAAAUAUCGAUUUCUGACAAAUUUUAGAAGAAUGUCACAUGAAUAUCAAUACUUAUCCCAGAAAUUAAAAGUUCUCACUUAACUAUCACUAUUUAUCCUUGCAAAUAUAUGAUUUUCUUACCAAACUAAUGCUUUUCAUCCCUACAAAUAGCAUUUAAAAUGGGGAGGGGUAUUAAAUGGGGGUGAGGGUCCUUAAAUAAGGAGGGGGGUUAAAAUGUGGGACCCUAUAAUGGUUGGGAUAGUUAAAAUGGGGGGAGUCUAUAAAAUGUCGGUGUUCCUUAAAUUGGGGGGGGGCUUUAAAUGGGGAGUCAAUGGCCAAAAAGGACCUGGAAGAGGCAGGUUGGGGAGGGGGGUCCUUAAAUAGGGGGGUCCUUAAAUAGGGGGCGGUCCAAAAAAUGGGGGGGAGUCCUUAAAUUGAGCUGGAACCAAUAAUGGGUGGGGGGGGUUAAAAUGGAGGGGUCCUUUAAAAGAAGGGUGCAUUUAAAAGUGGGUGUUCUUAAAUGGAGGAGGACAUUAAAAUGGAGGGGUCUUUAAAUGUGGGGGGGUCUUUAAAAUGGGAGGAGUCCUUUAAAUUGGGGGGGGAUCCAUAUAAAUGGGUAAGGGUUCAUUAAUGUGGGGGAGACCAUAAAAUUGGGGGGACUUAAAAGGGGGGGGUUUAAAAUGGGAGGAGUUCUUUAAAUGGGGGGGGGUGUCCUUAAAUGGGGGGGACCCUAUAAUGUGUGUGAAGGGGUUAAAUUGUGAUGGUCCUUUAAAUAGGGGCGGGGGGGUCAUUAAUUUCUGGGAGAUCCAUAAAUGUUGGGAGGCACCUAUCAUUGUUGGGGGUUGUUAAAAUAGGGGGGUCUUUAAAAGGGGGUGGUCCUUAAAAUGGGGGUACUUAAAUGGGGUUCAUUGGCCACAAAUGACC